UACGUAGGGUGCAAGCGUUAAUCGGAAUCACUGGGCUUAAAGCGUGUGUAGGCGGAUCGUUAAGUACCUUGUGAAAUCCCACGGCUUAACCGUGGAACUGCUUGGUAUACUGGCGGUCUUGAGCCAGCUAGGGGCUACCGGAACAAAUGGUGGAGCGGUGAAAUGCGUAGAUAUCAUUUGGAACGCCAAUGGUGAAAACAGGUAGCUGGGGCUGUGCUGACGCUGAGACACGAAAGCCAGGGGAGCAAACGGG
rnacentral:rRNA from 1 species